UACGUAGGGGGCAAGCGUUGUCCGGAUUUAUUGGGCGUAAAGAGCUCGUAGGUGGUUCGGUAAGUCGGAUGUGAAAUCUCCAGGCUCAACCUGGAGGGGUCAUUCGAUACUGCCGUGACUAGAGGUCGGUAGGGGAGCGUGGAAUUCCUGGUGGAGCGGUGAAAUGCGCAGAUAUCAGGAGGAACACCCGUAGCGAAGGCGGCACUCUGGGCCGAUACUGACACUGAGGAGCGAAAGCGUGGGGAGCGAACAGG
rnacentral:rRNA from 1 species